GCACAAGCGGUGGAGCAUGUGGUUUAAUUCGACGCAACGCGCAGAACCUUACCAGCCCUUGACAUCCCGGUCGCGGACUCCAGAGACGGAGUUCUUCAGUUCGGCUGGACCGGAGACAGGUGCUGCAUGGCUGUCGUCAGCUCGUGUCGUGAGAUGUUGGGUUAAGUCCCGCAACGAGCGCAACCCCCGUCCUUAGUUGCUACCAUUUAGUUGAGCACUCUAAGGAGACUGCCGGUGAUAAGCCGCGAGGAAGGUGGGGAUGACGUCAAGUCCUCAUGGCCCUUACGGGCUGGGCUACACACGUGCUACAAUGGCGGUGACAAUGGGACGCUAAGGGGCAACCCUUCGCAAAUCUCAAAAAGCCGUCUCAGUUCGGAUUGGGCUCUGCAACUCGAGCCCAUGAAGUUGGAAUCGCUAGUAAUCGUGGAUCAGCAUGCCACGGUGAAUACGUUCCCGGGC
rnacentral:rRNA from 1 species